GUGUCAGCAGCCGCGGUAAUACGAAGGGUGCAAGCGUUACUCGGAAUUACUGGGCGUAAAGCGUGCGUAGGCGGUUCGUUAAGUCUGACGUGAAAUCCCCGGGCUCAACCUGGGACGUGCGUUGGAAACUGGCGAUCUAGAGUACGGUAGAGGGUGGUGGAAUUCCCGGUGUAGCAGUGAAAUGCGUAGAGAUCGGGAGGAACACUCGUGGCGAAGGCGGCCACCUGGACCAGUACUGACGCUGAGGCACGAAAGCGUGGGGAGCAAACAGGAUUAGAUACCCUGGUAGUCC
rnacentral:rRNA from 1 species